rnacentral:piRNA from 1 species
UGCCUUUGGUUUGGCUCCUUGUCCAGA